rnacentral:sRNA from 1 species
AUAUUGCGAGGGAUUUCCGACGGA